UGCCAUUCCUCAUGAGCGACUUCUGGGCCUACCAUUGCUUCACAUCUGCAGCAAGAACCUGGUCAACAGGACAAAAGGACCUGCCCUGAGCAGCUUCUCAGGCAUCUCGCAAUGUUACAGGAGAUUAACCUGCUAAUACACUGCAGACUGACUUCAUGGGAAAAAAACAACAAAGAGAAAUCCACAAGUGACAUCCAUCAUCUAGGAAUAGAGGCCACUGGACAGAGAGAAACUUUUCCUGCUUUGUGGAUAUGAAGUGUAUGCAACAGUAAAAGCAGGAAAAAAAGUUUUCACUUUUAAUCUGGACAAGACAAAAUCCCACUCGCUCUCCAAAAAGUACAGUUACCCAGUUUUUACUUAUAUUGCUCUCUCAGAGACUUCUGUAUCCCAGAACUCACUAUUGGGCUGUAGUCUGGGGAAAGAAUUCCUCCAGAAAAUCCCAAAGGAAGGAAUGAAAAAGGCAGCAAAACUGUAAUCAAAUGGAAAACACUAAAUAUUGCAAGAAGCAUCACAAAUACAUACAGCUGGGUUUGUGUUUUUAAUAAAUUAGGGCUGGCCACUUUGUCUGCUUGGCUCAGUUCCUUUUUUAUCCUCUCUCACUGCAGCUUUGGCUCUUUUCCUAUCUACUCCCCAAACUAAGGCUAAAUGCCAGUGAUAUUUGAUAGCUGAA